rnacentral:rRNA from 1 species
UUAGUUACUGGGGGAUCGUCUGAACAAGGCCUGCGCUUAAUUGCGCGGCCGUUCUUGAUUCUCUGCUAUCAGUUUUCUAUUUCUCAUCCUAAACACAAUGGAGUUUUUUCUCUAUGAACUACUUCCCUGGAGAGCUCGUCUCUCCUGUGGACAUAAACACAAACAAUAUUUUGUAUUAUGAAAAACUAUUAUACUAUAAAAUUUAAUAUUCAAAACUUUCAACAACGGAUCUCUUGGUUCUCGCAUCGAUGAAGAACGCAGCGAAUUGCGAUAUGUAUUGUGAAUUGCAGAUUUUCGUGAAUCAUCAAAUCUUUGAACGCACAUUGCGCCCUCUGGUAUUCCAGGGGGCAUGCCUGUUUGAGCGUCAUUUCUCUCUCAAACCUUUGGGUUUGGUAGUGAGUGAUACUCGUCUCGGGUUAACUUGAAAGUGGCUAGCCGUUGCCAUCUGCGUGAGCGGGCUGCGUGUCAAGUCUAUGGACUCGACUCUGCACAUCUACGUCUUAGGUUUGCGCCAAUUCGUGGUAAGCUUGGGUCAUAGAGACUCAUAGGUGUAAUAAAGACUCGCUGGUGUUUGUCUCCUUGAGGCAUACGGCUUUAACCAAAACUCUCAAGUUUGACCUCAAAUCAGGUAGGAGUACCCGCUGAACUNAGCAUAUCAUA